UACGAAGGGGGCUAGCGUUGCUCGGAAUCACUGGGCGUAAAGGGUGCGUAGGCGGGUCUUUAAGUCAGGGGUGAAAUCUGGAGCUCAACUCCAGAACUGCCUUUGAUACUGAAGAUCUUGAGUGCGGGAGAGGUGAGUGGAACUGCGAGUGUAGAGGUGAAAUUCGUAGAUAUUCGCAAGAACACCAGUGGCGAAGGCGGCUCACUGGCCCGAUACUGACGCUGAGGCACGAAAGCGUGGGGAGCAAACAGG
rnacentral:rRNA from 1 species